rnacentral:rRNA from 1 species
UACGGGGGGUGCGAGCGUUGUCCGGAAUCACUGGGCGUAGAGGGUGCGCAGGCGGUUGGGUGUGUCAGAUGUGAAAUCCCGAGGCUCCACCUCGGAACUGCGUCUGAAACUACUCGACUAGAGUAUUGGAGAGGGUAACGGAAUUCACGGUGUAGCAGUGAAAUGCGUAGAUAUCGUGAGGAACACCAGAGGCGAAGGCGGUUACCUGGACAAUUACUGACGCUCAGGCACGAAAGCGUGGGGAGCAAAAGGG